UCGUAUUCGGAAGAGUUUCAAGGAACAGGGCUCACAGAAAUAUAAAGUAGAUGGCGAUUCCUUAGAAAACUUUCUUUUGAGGCGUGACGGCCAAGAUGUUCGCAAAACAUCCUUUUCUCAAACAUUUCUUUUAGAUGACCCAUCAAAUAUCGGCAUUGAUUUAGCAAUUAAUAAAGAUCAUCCAGGAUUACACCCACGAGAUAGUAUCGAUCUAUUACACAGGAAAGAGGAAAGAAGGUCUAGCGACGUUAGUGGAAUUCAUAUGUCAUCAAACCCAAGCGACUCAAGCGACAAG